rnacentral:rRNA from 1 species
AUUGAACGCUGGCGGCAGGCCUAACACAUGCAAGUCGAGCGAGCGGCGGUCGGGUGUGUAAUGUCAGGGAAACUGCCUGAUGGAGGGGGAUAUCUACUGGAAACGGUAGCUACUACCGCAUACCAUCAGAUGUGCCCAGGUGGGAUUAGCUAGUCGGUGGGGUAACGGCUCACCUAGGCGACGAUCCCUAGAUGGUCUGCGUGGAUGGCCAGCCACGCUGGAACUGGGACACGGUCCAGACUCCGACGGGAGGCAGCAGUGGGGAGUAUUGCACAAUGGGCGCAAGCCUGAUGCAUCCAUGCCGCGUGUGUGAAGAAGGCCUUCGGGUUGUAAAGCACUUUCAGCGGGGAGGCGUUACCCGCAGAAGAAGCACCGGCUAACUCCGUGCCAGCAGCCGCGGUAAUUC